UCAAAUAAUACACGUUUUCAAAGUAAUUGUUAUAACUGUAAUGGUAUCAUUAGGUACUCAUAUCCGUACUUGGUAUCGGCAAACCCAAAUGUAAGUACUCGUACUUGGUUUCAAAAAAGUGGUAUUGGUGCAACACAUUUC